UGGCCUAUAUAAUUCCCGGGAGGAUCAUAGUUACAAGUCACCAAAGUACCGCCAGUCGCGCAUUGGGCCUUCGCGCAUCCAACCCGAACUGAGUUGCGCCACACCACCUGAGUGUAAUGCCCGCAGACCUUCCCAGGCGCGCAUGAGUUGGAAUUGUAGUUGUAGUCAGGCUUUUCCCCGACCCACAGGUUCACCGCUCUCGUGCCGGUGAGAUCAGGGGAAGCCCAAGCGAGGUUCUCUCCAUAGGGUCCGCCUGAAUGGACCAGCCGCGUGCAAUCCCUGGCGUGCUUUUGGGCGUAAUCCCUGGCAUAGCUAGCCACUCGCUCGUCCCAAGUGAUUGGGCCUACACCGACCUGGGAGCGGGCUGCAUUGUGGGCGGCGACGUAGUCUUGGGGAGAGUCUUGGGCGACAGACAGAGAGAUCAGCGCCAGGGUUAGAGCAACGAGGAAAAUGACAUGGAGAGGAACACUCCUACGGGAAUUCAUAUUGUAAGAGACCAUAAAAGUUGGCAGAGGAAAGAUCUUAGUGGGUUGAUGUAAGGGAUGGGCAAUAGCUAGGGAGUAUUUAUGUGGCGAUCAUGUGGAAAAAUCUGUCCAUUGGAAAAGUCAAAUAUUCGAAAUAGGUCACAAUGACUAGAAGAGUGCCCGUCAAAUUGAUCCAUCGCCAAUGUGAUAUUUUUCAUACUCUGUACAACGUUAAUUAUUGUACCCCGACAAUGACCUCGUCGUCUUCUUCUUAUUAUUUUUUCUUUUUUGUUUCAAUUUUAGCCAUAGAAAUAGUGAUGACAAAUAGUGACUUUGUACCAAGCCGACAAGUCUAUUGAUAACUUUGUACCAAGCCGAUAAGUCUGUUGAAGACACUAUGUGUAAGUCUAUUGAUGACAAAUAGGACUUUGUACCAAGCCGAUAAAUCUGUUGAAGACACUAUGUGUAAGUCUAUUGAUGACAAAUAGCGACUUUGUACCAAGCCGAUAAGUCUGUUGAAGACACUAUGUGAAGCAUAGGUCGACUUGGCAAGAAGCAAGAUUUUGACAGGGAUUUCAGCUGUAAUUUGGCCUGCGCCAGCACCUAGCCUGAAGAAUGCUUUAUUUUAAUGUGUCAGCGCUCGCCCGCCUUAUCCCCUCCUCAAUUCCCGAUAUGAGUUAUUUUUUCUUCCUUGUUGGGUCGAGUAUACGAGUUGAGAUUAGGGAAUCCCGCCCCGAUGGUCCUUUCCCCUCAUUUCUUUCCCUUGAUCCUUUACGUGAUCAUUGGAUGCCUUUAAACGCGGCUUAUCUUAAAACUCUUUUUCUCUCUUUCCACAAAAAUUGUCGUCUCUUGGGUAAAAGUUUUGUCCCCUACUUUUCACUGUUUCUUUUGGCGUUUUCUGCUAAAUUGGUUUCGCGUCUUAAGUCAAUUAUAAUUUGUGAGUAAAGCACCAAAAGCUGAAAGAUCGAGCUCAAGUAGUCAAGAUCGACGCAUUCACUCUUUUUUAUUUUGCUUUUUAUUUCCUAACUUGUGUUUCAAGAAAGCUGAACUUGAAAAUGUGAAACACAUGAGUAAGAUUUUUAUUUUGGAUUGUAAUUAGAAAUUCAAUAACUACUCCUGAAAACAUUAUAUAAUUUGACAAAGCAACUGUCGGUAAUUAGAAUUAUGAUGCCCAUUUAUUGAGGCUAAAGAAAUGUAAAAUAUACUAAGAGCAUGCAUUAAAUCCCCCCAUCCAUUCUUUGAGCGGUAGCGGCAAUAUUACACGUGAGUUCAUUCAUAUGACAAAUAUAGAGAAAAAAAACAAUUGAGUAUAAUGCGAUAAGGUACACGUAAGUUAAUUAACCUUGCUGAAACCCAUAAAAAAUGGGUUUCGGCAGGUGCCACCGUGCCAGGUCGCCCAAUGAAAAUUAUUGGCCCAACCACACGGGCUAUGUCUACUUUUUUUUUUUUAAUAAAAAAAGUGAGCUAAAUAAUAAAUAAAAUGGAAACAUAAAUAGAAAAUAAAUGAGUACUUUAUUAUAGAUGAAUUAUAAAAUAAUUUUCUUUUUCUAUUUUCAGCCUCCUUUCCUCUUCUAAUAUUUAUGAAUUUUUCUAUUUUAGAAUGAACAAAAGAAGUACGCUCAAUUUGAAAAAUAUGUGAGUUUCAAUAAAAUUAUAUUUUAUUUAUAACACAUCAUUAAUUUUAUUAUUUUUAAUUAUGAGGAAAUCAAAUGGAAUAAGAAAUUCUUGUUACUUUAAUAAUACCAAAAAAAUGAUAUUUAUCUCAAAUUCGCACUAUUUUUAAAGUAAAAGUAAGAUUAAAUUGUAAAAAAUAUAGAACAUCUGAAUUCUUUUUGAUUUUACUUUCUACUUUCAGAAUAUACUUAAUUUGAUAUAGUUUCCAUUAUUGUAAGUACAAUAUUGAGGCAUCAAGAUUCAUCUACUAGACCUAGCUAAAAUAUUUAACAAGACCUAGCCCUGCACCUUGGUGUGUGGUUAUAUAAAUUAUAAAUCAAAAUGAAGAAUAUGAAGUAUGAGAUGUUUAAGCAUAAAAAUGACCGAAAAUUCUAAAAAUUAUGCAUCAGUGUUUUGAAUAAUUAUAUCAUAUGUAUAAACUCACGAAUCUGAUAUCAUAAGCUAUUAUAUUCUUUAUAUUCUUUAUAAUGUCCUAGUCUUGGAUAUUUCCAUUGAUGUAGAGUGCUUGACUUGAGAAUCCAUUUCUAAAGAAGGUCGGAAAAUGAUCAAUUUGGACUAACCUAACUAUUUUGAUCUUCUUUCUCUACUUACGAACAUAUUCUUUGACAUUUAGUAUGAACAGUGAAUAACUCAAUACUCACUGCCAAAUGAAAAUAAAAAUAAAAAUUACAUGUAGGGUAAUCUCUAAAUAAAACUUUGUAUUUCAGAAAGUAACUAACCAAAUGCAAAAUAUGAAACUGGCACUGGUCGAUGAAACAAUUAGAGAAGCAUCGAAAGGGAUUUUUUUUCUUGAAGAAGAAGUUAUUGGAUGAAUCAGAUGCAUGCAUCUUGAACUUAUCUGGAACAUUGAAUAUGAUGGAUCCUACAUAUAAAGAAGGUGGGCCUUAUUACAUUAGAUAAUCUAGAAAUAUUUGGGUUCACACAAUUGAUGCAUGUAAUAACCUUUCUUCUCUAGAAGAGAGAAUCAAUGACACUUAAAAUAAACCCUCUCAAUAAGUAAGACAACUUUUACACAUCUAAUUGUUCCUCGUAUUGUUCGACCAACUAUUGCAUCCUCACCACGUCCCCAAAUUUUGGUGGAUAGAGGGCAUGUGCUUGUCCCCAAACCAUCAAUAUGUAUGUGUUAUCAAAAGCGGAUGAAGUUCCAAGGAAAUAAGAAAGUGAAAUUUAAGGAGUGGCAAGUAAAAGUCAAGAACAAUAUGCAGACUACUUCCAGAAUUUAGAGGGUUCAUGUAAUUUUCCCCAAAUUGAAAGUGGAGAUAAAUGAUAUAAAAUGUGGAAUAAGAGAUAAUUGUUGGGAGAUAAAUUAAUAGCCAAUCGUAAUGCUUGUACUAACUUGAACUGUCUUAUUUAAAAAUAAUGGGGCUUAUGUAUAUAGGUCCCACCUAGGACUCACUAAAUUCAAUGGUUAAUACCAUAAAAAAUUUCAAAUUGAUAUACCUGUGAUAAAUUUACUCUGAAUUAAUUUUUGACCAUCAAAAACCUCAAAUUGAUACAUUUCAUCCGUUAGUUUCUGCUAAAUUAGAUUAACACCAUGAAAAAUCAUAAAUUAGUACACUUAUGAUAAAUUGAGGGUAAAACUCCAAAUUAAUAUACUUGUCAACCGUCACGUGUAAUUCAACUCCAUAAUUUGAUAGUAAAAUUUAAUGGAGGGUAAAUUUGUUAUAAAUAUAUCAGUUUGAGUUUUUUGUAGUCAAAAAAUUAAUUUAUGAUAAAUUUGUCGCAUAUGUACUAAUUUGAGGUUUUUGGUUGUGUUAGCCCUAAAUUCAAUUUAAUACAUAAUUUACUGAAUAAUUUACUGAAUAGUUUUCGGUGGGAGAUAUCAUUGUCACUAUCGCUAUGAUCAUCACAUGGACUAUUUUCCACAUUCAAGGAGGCCAAAUCAAAGACGGAAAAGAACAGAAGAGAAAAAGAUAACAAAUCAAACCGCGGAAAUUCGUCCGGUGAUGCCGCCCUUCCCAUCAUGGCUUCUUUCUAUUUCUCCAAUCUCGUCGAAAAUGUUGACUUUUCUUUAUUCCCACGAAACCCUAGCAACCCUAGUUUCUCGUUCUGACCAUUUCUUGUCUUUAACUAUUCUUUAUUUUUCCGGAACCUUUUGAACUCCCGAAUCUGAUUGGCUUGAACCAAGAAUUUUCACUUUUAUAUUUUAAUAAGACCGUUAUAUCUUUGGAAUUUCAUAACAGAUUUGAAAUGUUAAAUUGCUUGUGAUCUCCGGCAAUCUAGCACGCAGACAAAUUGAGGUCCCAUACAUAGAAUCUGCGUCUCCUACACCUCCAGUAUUUCAUCUUUUAGGUUCUAUUGGGUAUGCUUUUUCUUUCCUUUUUUUGCCCUAAAUAUAGCAAGAAAACCACAAAUUACGACUCCAUGAAAUGUCAUACUAAUCUCAAUAAUCAAGUAAGAUACAGAUCAAAACACCGCAUGGGUAACGCAAACAUGAGAUUAUAUAAUGUCUUGCUUUUAAUCCACGUGCUCAUGCCUAUCCUUUACCACUAAGCUAUGACAAGAAUUGCAUGUAAUCUUCUUAUUCCUGAAAUAGUGGGUCUUCGUCGGUCGUGCCCAUAAAGCAAGUGGAAUACAUGUUGACCAAAUUUCGGGGACACUAAAAAAGUCCUUUUUUUUUUUUUUCUCUUGUUGUUGUUGCAGUGGCAUAGAGCUAUCCAUAAUAAGUUUUGAAAAAUUAUCAAAAAAAGUCCUAAACCUAUCAUAUGACAGCAAAUUUAAGCCUCAACUUUUUCAUUUCGUCAAUUCAAUCCUCAACUUUUUUUCAUUUAUUUUCCAGCCAAGGGUUAAAAUUUAGGGUUUUUGUCUAUAUAUAAUAAUCACGGUAAGAGAAAUAGAAAAACUUUUUGCGAGUGGCGUCAAUUAAGGCGUGAAGACCAGUUUGUAAGUUAGGUUAUUAUCUAUAUGAAGACACGUACGAUAAACAAGGCCGCUUAUAAAUUAUUUUUUUUUUCUUUAAUAGUUGUUAGUACUUCAUCAUAUAUUGAAUUUUAUUUUUCUUUUAUCGUGAAGAACUGGCUUAUGGCUUCUUUCAUGCAUGGCACCGUAUUCCAUGAAAGCGAAACCCCUCACAUGUUAAUUCACCGUCACAAGCGCUGAUUGCCAGCCGAAACUUAUGACCUUAUGAUAAUAUAUACCAUGCUAUGCACCUGGAAUUAAUCAAUUGACAUUAGCAUUGCUCUACUUUCCACUCUGAAACCGAACCAGCCGAAACUUAUGCUACGCACCCUGGGAUUAAUCAAUUGACAUUAGCAUUGCUAUGCUUUCGACUCUGAAACCGAUGCUUGUGGGUAUGAUUCCUAUCUCAGAGAACUUGGAUUUAAGUUGGAGUCCAUAAAGGUGGAUUGAGUUCCUUAAGCCGGCUAAGUACGGUCAUGCUUCUGUAUUAUUUUAAAAGAAGAAAAAAGUGACGCCCGUCUAGGUCUUUAUUUUACUCGAUAGGUACACAUCUAUCUAUAUCUAUAUACAUAAGUCAAACCACGCUUUGUCUCACUUUUAGAAUCCCUAAAUUACCUUACCUUCUUUGUCUCAUACCCACUCAUUUCAUAAAUAACAAUCUGAUUUCUUUUGUGCUUCUGUAUUAUUUUAAAAGAAGAAAAAAGUGACGCCCGUCUAGGUCUUUAUUUUACUCGAUAGAUACACAUCUAUCUAUAUCUAUAUACAUAAGUCAAACCACGCUUUGUCUCACUUUUAGAAUCCCUAAAUUACCUUACCUUCUUUGUCUCAUACCCACUCAUUUCAUAAAUAACAAUCUGAUUUCUUUUGUCUCGUCAUAAUUUUAGACUUCUUUAUUACCUUUGUUUUCUUUUUCUUAUACUCACCUGCUUUAUAUAUAACCACUUUUUCUUUCUAUGCAUAAUUCCUAUGACCCUAGUAUAUAACGGUGAUCUGAAUGACUUGCUGUUUCCAUUCAAGCGAAGUGAUUGUCAUUUAUAGUAAUUUAAAGAUAUUUAAAGUAAAACAGCGAAGUGACUUGCUGUUCCUGUGCCCAGAGAUACGCCGGCAUGCGCACAGCCAGUGGCUGCGCCCUGGAGCACUCGAUGGGCCGAUUCGGCGAGAAGCUGGCGGAGGGCAUGGCGAACUGAGCAGUGAAGAUGCUGUCAAGAUGUGGGUGAGCGAGAGGGCCAACUACGACCAUCACUCCAAUGCUUGUGUCGGCGGUGAGUGCUUGCAUUACACACAGGUCAUGUGGAGGAGCUCGAUUCAUCUAGGGGGUGCUAGGGUUAAGUGUAGCAACAGGUGGUAAUUCGUGACUUGUAAUUAUGAUCCUCCGGGGAAUUUCGAAGGUUAACAUCCCUACUAAUUUACUAAUCAUGAGUGUACUUUUCAUGUGCAUUGGUGACAUAUGAUCAAUGUGUACUGGAGACGCUAGCUAGGAGUUUCCAAGUUGAAAUAGAAUAUUAAUGGAUUAUUAUAUGUAGUUUACUUUCCUUACUUAUGGAGGAUUCAUGUGGAUUUAUCGUUGCCUUCUUUCUAAAGGUGUAAUGCCGUCUAUAUCUAGGCCUCUGUGCACUCUUACCUUUGAUUAUAAAAGCGUUAUGAUCGAAUAAAUGAUUGGGGAAAAUGAUUAUAAAAACAUCACUACCGUCAUAAAGCCAUGAUAGUGUACCUUGGCUUCCUGCUAAACUUGAUUGGGUCAAGACGAUUGGGUGAGUCUGAAGGCAAAUGGUGUAAUUCAGAUCCAACAUCAGCCAAAAUUGAUGGGUUCAAGGUGGAGAUUCGAGUUGAGAUAACAUUGGUGAGGAAGGAAAACCUGGAUGAAAAGAGACAAUGGAUCUCACAUAGGAGGUUCACAUGUGUGAAGGAGAUUUAAUGAAGUGCAUUCAUGGGGAGUUAGGCAUAAAAAGUCUCACAUUAAGAAUAUGCUAUGCGGUGAAUCAUAUUAAUAUAUCCAAGUUGAGAUUCAUUCAUAAGCUUGGAUUUGAGCUCUUUCUCGGUGAUUUCCCCAAAUGUAGAUAUCAAGUUUGUGUCGUGUGGUCCUAACAUUCAAGAUUUCUAAAGCUUUGCAUUAGUCAUUUCAUCCUCCUAGUCAUGUAUAACAACGUCGUCUCGAUUCCCACGAUUGACCUGUGAGCAAUAAACUCAUAAAUUGGAAUUCAUUAAACUCAAAUUGCGGUGUGAUCGCGUGUCUAAUUUUUUUUUUGAACAACGUAAUUUGAGACAAAAUGAAGGGUGCGAUUGUUUCAUGGAAAACUUAAUGAUAAAGGAAAAUGCUUUCCGGGAAAGCAUUUUCCAAGAAUACGGUUUGUUUUCCUUUGUUUGGCAAUGUAUAAUUGAAAAUGUUUUCUGCCGUUUGUAUCCCAUUAAAAAAUAAUCACACGUCAUCACAGGAAAAAAAAUGAAGAAGCAAAAACUCACUGGCCAUCCUUGUGGCCUGUGACAGGUGAAGAAGAAGUAAAAAGAAAAAGAAGCAAAUUCGAAAUUUUUAUUUUUAUUUUAAAAAAAUUUCCAAAUUUUAUUUUUUUAAAAAAUAAAAAAUUCAAAUUCAAUUUUUUUUAAAAUAUAUUUUUAUAAGAAUAAUUGUUUGUAAACCAAGCAUCAAAUCUAAACUUUGAUAGAUUCGGAAAACGUUUUCUGGUCAUUUCAAAUGGAAAAUCAUUUUCCUGAAUUUAAGCUUUGCGAGUAAAACAUUUUCCGUUGACUAGGAAAACGUUUUCCAUUGAUUCAUUUUCCUAAGCCACCCAAACGCCGGAAAAUGAGGAAAAUUUUUUUCCACAAAAAUGUAUUCCACGAAAUAAACGCACCCGAAUAUAUCUUUCAGGUCGUUAUCCAAGCAUCCAGAUCCUUGCGGGAAAGAAUAUUCUAGCUAUGAGUCUAUGACCUUUCAAAGUACUAUAAUGGGCUGCCAUGGAUAAAAGGGACUGACAUCGAACGCAAAGUUAGUCAAGUUUGACUAGCGCUAUUGAGACCUAGUUGAUUAAUUAGGGAUAAUAUCACUUACUCGGUCAACUAAAGGAGUCCAAUUCAUCAAUUUAUAGUAAAUAUCGACGGAUAUACCACUAAUUCCAACAUUAUUCGCAUUUUAAUCUUUUUGCCGUGGAUGUAUCAUCGAUUCUAUAAAAUAUAAAUCUUAUAAGCUUAGCGAAUGGAAUGUAUCCUUAUAUGGUUGAGACGGCCAUUGCUAUGUACCAAAAUUAAUUGAAAGAGCUAAUGAAAUGAACUCGAGAGCGAAAUGCGCCAUAUAGAUAAUACACAGCUUCUCUUUCGCAGUGUUAAGGGCUUGGAUCGUGAUGUGCUUGAGAGAAGGGAGCUGAGGAGAUUUGAUCAAGGAUCGAAAUUCCUUCACUUAAAAAAUAGAAAAUUGAGAGAGAGAGAUAAUUAUUGAAAGAGAUUAACUUAAUCGGCAAAUAGAUUUGCCUUCAUCAUUCACAUGACUUUAUUGAAUUUUGAUGCGUAUAAAGCUCUUGCCUCAUCCUAAUGGGGCAUUAUUUUGACAUGAUUAUUCAUCAUCCAACAUACAAGUUCUUUUUCAAUAAGGCUUUUGGCCUACAUAGUUGCCGGGAGGAUCAUAGUUACAAGUGACCAAAGUACCGCCCGUUGCACACUUGGCCUUCGCACAUCCAAGCCGGACCGAGUUGCGCCACACCACUUGAGUGUAAUGCCCGCAGACCUUUCCUGACGCGCACGAGUUGGAAUUGUAGUUGUAGUACGGCUUCUCCCCAACCCACAUGUUCACCGCUCUCGUGCCGGUGAGAUCAGGGGAAGCCCACGCGAGAUUCUCCCCAUAGGGUCCGGCUGAGUGAACCAGCCGCGUGCAAUCCCUGGCGUGCUUUUGAGCAUAAUCCCUGGCAUAGCCGGCAACGCGCUCGUCCCAAGUGAUUUGGCCGACACCGACCUGAGAGCGGGCCGCGUUGUGGGCGGCGACGUAGUCUUGGGGAGAGUCCUGGGCGAUGGACAGAGGGAUCAGCGCCAGGGCUAGUGCGACGAGGAAAAUGAUAUGGAGAGGAACACUCAUACGGGAACUCAUAUUGAGAGAGACCUUAAAGGUUGGCAAAGGAAGGUCUUAGUUGAUUGAUGAAGAGAUAGGCAAUAGCUAAGGGGGUAUUUAUAUGGUGAUCACGUGGAAAAUCUGUCCAUUUGGAAAAGUCAAAUGUUCAAAAUGGGCGACCAUGACUAAAAGAGUGCCCGUCGAAUUGAUUGAUGAUAAUGUGAUAAUUUUCAUAUUUUUAUUUUCUCUUGAAAAUAAUAAUAUUUUCUAGAAAUAUUGAGGACAGAUAUUGGACAACGUUAAUUAUUGUACCAUUGAUGAUGACUUCGUCUUCUUCUUGUUAUUGUUUUUCUUUCCUUUUUAUUUCAAUUUUAGCGAUAGGAAUAUUGAGGACAAAUAGCGACUCCAUCGAUUCUUUACAUGAUCAUUGGACGCCUUAAAAGGUGACUUAUCUUGAAACUCUUUUCUCUCUUUCCACAAAAAUUGUCGUCUCUUGGGUAAUAGUUUUUCUCCCCCACCUUUGACUGUUUCUUUUGGCGCUUUAUGAUAAAUUGGUUUCGCGUCUAAGUCACUUAUAAUUAACCAAUAGCUGAAAGAUCAAUCUCAAGUAGUCAAGCUUGAUGCAUUCUCUAUUUUUUUUUUUUUUUUGCCUUAACUUGUGUUUGCACGAAAAUGAUUUUGAAAAAUGUUAAACACGUGAAUAAGAUUUUCAUUUCAGGUUAUAAUUAGAAAUUCAAUAAUAACUCUCGAAAACAUUAUUUAGUUUGACAAAGUAACAAUUGGUAAUUGGAAUUAUGGUGCCUAGUUAUUGAGGCUAGAGAAAUGUAAAGUACACUAAGAGCAUGCAUCAAAUCCUCCCAUCCAUCCUUUGAGCCAAUAGUGGCACUAUUGCAUGUAAGUUCGUUCAUAUGACAAAUAUAGAGAAAAAUAUUCUGAGUAUAAUUACAAUAAGGUACGCAUAAUUCGAUAUCAUCAUUGGAUAGGUUCGGUUCAAAUUUAUAGGAGCCUUGCUCAAACCCAAACUAAUGAGUUUUGGCAAGUGCUAGGCUCAAACAAUAAAAACUAUUGGCCCAACCACAUGGGCUAUGUUUGCUUUUUUCAACAAAAUAAUUGAGCUAAAUAAUAAAUAGAAUGGAAACAUAAAUAGAAAAUAAUUUCUUGUGGUACUUUACUUUAGAUGAGUCAUAAAUACUUUUCUUUUCUUUUUAAGCCACAUUUUCUCUUCUAAAGCAAACCAAUAAGAAUUAAAGCGCGAUUGUGCCAGCCCAAUCCCCUUGUGGUCAAAACUAUUAUAGAAGGAAAGGCGUGCCGCGGUGCCACUUUACCAUUCCGCAAAGUGGAAUUCUUCUCCUAAUAAUUCUUGCUUUGUAAAAUGUAUUCCCCUAGAUCGAAGGUAAUUAAAAAUUCUAAGAAAAAAAGAAAGAAAUUGAAAUAUUUAUUAAUGACUUGUUCUCCUUCUGCAGAGCGGUAACUUUUCCAUGUUUUACAUGUCCCGUUGUUCACACCGUCUGCAAAUGGCUAAUGUAUAUAGAAAUUGUUCGUUCUGCACACUCAAAUACAAAUAUCAGUAAACUUAGAUUAUUUCAUUAUCUCAAACAUCGUGGGAGAUUUUAUAAGAAAAUACACAACAUGGUUUUGUUAGAUGGGCCAUAUUCGACUAAUAAGCGUUUAGAUGAGUGAUUUAUCAUCUUCCAAUUUAUAUCCUUCAUAUUUUUACCUCUUAUUAAGUCUAAACUUGAGAAACGUAUGAAUUAGAGGAAGUUUGAUAUAGAAGAUAGUUCAUGAGCUUUAUUUUUUGUAAUAUAACAACCAAUCUAAUAAAUAGAUAAAGAUAUAGUAUUUUUAACAAAAAUAUAAAACAGUGAGUUUACGUAAAUCCUAUUGGGAUUUCAAGUACAUCCUACUUCAUUACAUAAUAAAUCUGACAAAUAUAAAGAAAAAGAAAACUCAUUUAGUUAAAACAUCACUGUUCAGAAUUUGUAGUAUUAUCUUAUUACCUGGAUAUAUUUCACUUACUUUAAAUGUAUUUAAAUAAAAGUGAAAUAGAAAGAAUAGCUUAUACCAAUAAUUGAAUAAGUUCCACUCUACUGAUGUUUGUUAUUGAUAAACAUAUUUUGUUCGUUAAAGUAUAACUGAUUCUAUUUGAGUAAUUUGACUUAGCAUAUAAAAAUAAUUAGAGUGAACAAAAUAAAUCCACUUGGUUUAAAAAUAUAUGAAUUUUAAUAAAAUUAUAUUUCAUUUAUAACACAUCAUUCAGUUUAUUAUUUUUAAUUAUUGUGAAAUUUAAAUCGAGUAAAAAAUUCCUGUUACUUUAAAUACAUAUAAAAUUACUAUUUAUCUUGAAUUCGCAAUAUUUCAACGUAAAAAAAGAUUAAAUUGCAACUCAUUUUAAAUAUAGAAAGAAAUCUGGAUUAAAAAGAUUAUGUUACAAGUGAUGGGGCGGUAGCGGUGCCAUAGGGCCUUCUCGAGGAAGAAAAAGAAGGAAAAGGAAAUAAAAAAAUGAAAGAAACGAAAGAAAUAGGAAAAAAGGGGAAAAGGAAAAAAAAUGAUAAGAGCACAUCUAAGUGAUUGAAUGUUCAAAGUGCUUAUAUAUUCUUAUCUGAAGGGAGAGUAAAUUGGAAACGUAAACUCAUCUCCAUAAACGGAGAAGCACCCAGAAAAAUAUACUAGCAUCAAAUAAUAAUUAACCUGAUCAAAGCUGGUGCCAAAUAAAAAAAAAAAAAAAAUCCUAAGGAACAAACUUAUAGGUACUAAAAAGUCCUACUAAAACACUUUUUUUUAUACCAUGACGUGGUAAUUUCCUAACAGUUAUGGAAAGAAACUAUAAUGAUUCAAUGCAUGAGUCUCGCUCAUUUUAUACCCAAUUGUAAAUGGCCAUAUUACUUAUUAAAUAUGUUCUAGCAAAGUUCUUAUUAGAUUUUCUAUAUGAACACUCGGUACUUUUAUUAUCUAAUGAAAUUUGUAUUUUUUUUCACGUGAAAGAAUGACUUUUGGCUUCUUUCAUGCACGGCACCGUAUUUAUCAGCCGAAGUUUAUGAUGAUACACACCCACCUAUGGUUUAUCCAUUAAAAAUGGCAUUUCCAUACUUUCGGUUUAAGAAGCGAUGGUUGUGGAUUUGAUUCUUAUCCCGGGAAAUUCAGAUUUACUUUGCUUGCUCUUAAUUUUACUAUAAAAACAAAAAAGAGAAAUGUCAAAUCCUAAGUUUGUUUUAUAAUUUGGUACUAUAUGUCAUGUGGCAUAUUUUUAUUAAUUAUUGAAUAAUAUUUACUGUACACUUAUAGUCUGCCACUUGAUUUGGUAUAUUAAUAUUAAUAGAUAACAUAGCCUUGCCCAACAAGAAAUACCUUUAAAAAGUUGAGAAGAGAGAGCAAUAUUUAAGGUAAUAACAAAGAAGGGCAGGGGACGUAGCGCGAUGUAUAUAAACAAUUACUCAAACAAAAAGGAUAUUGUAAGUUCAUAGCAUGCACCAUAGACUCUUAAUUUGAGAGAACAAAAAAAUUAAUUUUAUCAAGAAAAUAUCAAGAUCAUUUCGCUUUUUUUUUUUCAUGGAAAAAAAUUAGCACAGAAAUCCACUGCCCUAGCCGCCCGCUUGAAUUGUAUUGCGCAAGGAGGAACUGGAAUGAUUAUCAUUCAUUUUUGUGCCGAAAGUAUGAGAAACGCCCUUAUCACUUGGUGAAUCCUAGGUGGGUUAUUAAGAAAAUCAUUUUAAUGGAAAACGAUCAAAUUUUCGUAUAUGGUUGGACUUUUAAAAAGGAGUUGAAAAUCAUUACCUAAUAUUUGUUAUCAAUUUGCUCUUAAACCUUUUUGGACGAAUGGGCUCGGAUUCAAGAGGAGAAAUCUAGCGUUUGCUUGCAUAAAAAUGUUUGAUCUAGAAUUACUUAUCUAUAUAUAAUGAUGGACUUGUUUUGUCAAUUAAUACCCCAUGUCACUUUAGGUGAGGAAGAAAAGGAAUAAACAUUGGGUAUGUUUGUUCAUGGAAAAUGAGUGAUCUAAAAAAUAUUUUAUGAAAAAUGAUCGCUUUUAUUGUCUAGAAAAAUAAAUGAAUAGAAAUUUUUUUCUUUGCCCAUGAAAAUAAUUAGGCAUAGAUUGCUAUUGAUGAUGGAAAUUUUUUUCGCUAACUAAUUUUUCUAAACGAUAUAAGCAAUUAAAUUUCGAAAAAUAUUUUUCAAAUCACUUAUUUUACAUGAAAUGAACACACCUUUGGUUCUUCUUUUCAAAAUAUACAAACAAAGCUGUUUUCCUCCAUCAUAUCCUAUUAUUUUAUUGAACAAGCAAUGGAUUCACAAGUCCAUGACCGAACAUUCCGUCAAAUGCUCUUGAUUUUGCAUAAAGAAAAAGAGACAUGGCUCAUGGGAUGCUCUUGAUUUACAUGUGGCUCAUGACUAAUCCAUGCAUCAGAUCCACCGCUAAAGAGAUAUAUCAGAUUUUAUACAAGUCCAUUUAGUCGAAAUAUAGAGUUUGAUGUAUAGAUUGAGGGCAGUGAAGUAUCCUGUUUGUGUUUUUUCCAAUUAGAGAGAAGAGGACCGAGGCACAUUGAUCUGAUUUCAGAAAAAAAGAAAAAAAAGAAAAAAAAAGGAUUGAAGGCUGACAAGUGAAAUGUCGAUUGAUCGCAUUUAUGUAUUUUUAUGUAAGAGGUCGACACCUUCUUUAUAUAACGUUCUAUAUGUAUAAUGAAUCGGUUAUGUUAAUUUGCAUUCGUCCUAUGUGGUAUCGAUUAUUUAUAUGUUCUGAACACAAAUUGAUACUUGUGAAUUAGUCAAAACUAAGUAGGGGUGGGCACGGUUUCGACGGGUGGGCUUCAAUGCUUUUUUCUUUUGCCCAGCCCGAACAUGUGGGUGUGGAACUUCUAAUUCCGGUUAGCAGGGCCAGCUCAUUUUUUUUUUUUCAAAAGACCAUACCGAACUAGACUAGGCAACCGACCAAAAGAAAACUAGAGUAGGCUGGUUCAGGCCUAGCCCAACUUUUUUUGUUGGUUUUAAAUGAAAAAGAGAUGAGCUACUAUAUUUUGGACCUCAAAAAUCACUUCUUUUAUAUGUUUAGAUAUUUUAACUUAGUUAUGAGUUUGUUACGUUGUAUUGAGUAGAAUUGACGUGUCUUGUAUUGGGAAAAGUGUCAGAAAAAUCCUAAUUUCAUUACAUUGGUACCAAUUUAAUCUUAAAUAUUUUAAUUGCGUUGAUUUAGUUCUAAAUAUGUUAACCCAAUGCCAAUUUAGUCCUUAGUUUCUUUAGCUAAAUUUGACUAGAUAUUGCUAACGUGGACUUUGGUCGACUUAUUUGGCAUGGUUAAUAUUGAUGUUGAUAAUUUUUAAUAAUAUAUUUUUUUUAAUUUGUAUUCUUUUAUUUAUCUCUUCUUUCCAUUCCUUCUUCCUUUAGCCAAUCACUAAACCAACGACCAGCUAGAGGUGAGGGCUAGCAAGGAUCAACCCUUUCUAAACAUUGUAAGGUCACGGCCUUCAAACUUGCAACCUUUGGCAAGGACCCUCACCAAAUCUACCGAGGUCGACCGUCAUUCAUUACGGGUGCCUGGCUCCUAGUUCGAUCCGAUUCCAAGGUGGAACUGAGACUAGACUGCAUCAUUGGUCCGAUCCAAUCUAAUAGAACCGGUCACUUAUUUUUUCCAAUAGUUUUCCCCAUUAUUUUUUUCCUACUACUUAAAACUGGAUCGAGAUAGUGUUUUGUUCACAUUAUACUCUUUUUUUUUUUGAAGAAAUAAUACAAUAAAAAGUAUAUUUAGUUGUUCCAAUCCGAUUCCUCCUUGGAAUCGAGAACUAGAUUGCUUGGACACCAGUUCCAUUUUUAUAAACCAGGAAUCGGACCAACACUCUUGGGAACAAGAUUAAACUAGUUGGUCUGGUUCAGUCUAACCAGUUUUCUAUUCAGGCAGUUCAUUUUAUACAUUCCUAUCUAUUAUUUCAUUAGAUUCAAUGGGGGUGAGCCUUAAUAUAGGUUAGGUGAUGUUGCCGGAUUUGGCAAGGCUAGCCAAAUGCUGGGAAGGUCCCCGGAGGAAGAAGAAAUAAAGAAAUAAAGAAAUAAAAAAUUUGAAAAAUAUCAAAAUAUUAUUAAAAGUGGUCAACGUUAGCGCCGAUUAUGCCAUAUAUGCCGAUUGGUGUCCACGUUAGCAAUCUUUGGCAAACAAAUAGUCGGAAUAAUUGAAUUGAUUAAAUUAAAAGAUUUAGGAUUGAAUUGAUAUUACUAAAAAAUUUAGAACUAAAUUGGCAUGACCAUAAUAUGUUUAAGACUUUUUUGACACAUUUCCCGUCUUUCACUAUUAAUAUCAUACACUUUAUUAAUACUUUUUAAAUUUUUUUUUUUAAAAGGUAGUUUGGGCCAAAUUGGGCCAUUUGGAGGUUGAGAUAUGGCCUGGCUCUGCUUGAGAAAAGGGGAGCUAGACUAGAACUAAUGGGCCUGAAAAUAUGGGUUAGUGCAGUUUGGGCCUAUUUGGGCUUUCGCUCUUUUUUGUUCCCCUCUUAGAGGUAAGUGCCACGUGGGACAAAGUGCUACACUGUGAAAACCACCUUUUGAAUCCUGUAAGAGCAAAGUGGUACAUGGUGGAAAUCAUUCCCUAAACCCAUGUAGGCUACCUUUAGAAUCCUUCACUUGUGAGCAGUUGGAGUAUGUCAGCAGGAUUGACUACACGGAAUGCAUUAUCGAAUGUCAUUUGUGUGAUCUACAAUUAUUAAACCUUCUAAUCCUUAGAAGAUGUGGUCAAGUACUUGCUCAAUUGGUGAUAUGCUUCCUCAACAUUGAGGCUGACUUACUAAGAGCGUUGCAUGCUAGAACCAUACUAUCCUCAAAAUUUGACACCUAGUCACAUGUCAUAGUCUAUUUGAGAUACCAUGAGAUUGUAAUAAUAGGAAUAAGAUGGUUUGAUUUUGCGGUUGCACCAUGAAGAUAUGAUAUUUGACAAACAUUUAAAAAGUAGCUCAUAUUUACGUAAAUUACGUAAAUGCCGAAGAAAUUGUUCCUACCACAUGAAAAAGUAAGUAUAAUAUAAAGUAUACCUACCACAUUAAGUGAUAAAAUGACAAUCGAGCGUUACUUAAUAAUAGUCAUACUGUUUUAUUUCCUAUUUCUCUAUCCAUUUAAAAUUAAACUUAAACCAAAAAAAUACUGAAAAAUAAAAAAGAUAGCAUAUUUAUAAAGAAAUCCAUAAGUUGCAGCUAUUUUAUAUACGACUUCUCAUAUUUCCUUGUGGUUUAAUAUUACAUAUUGUUUUAUAUAUAUGAUCUUGGUAAUGAUUAUAAAACAAAAAGGCAGUCUAGAGUUUUAACUUGGUCAUCAUAAACGUUGAACUAAAUUUUCAUCAAAAGAAUAUGCUGAAUAUUCGUAUUUUAAGAUAAAGGUAAACUCCCCAAUGCUAGUAGUUUUCAAAUUCUCUAUCCUAUUUUUCCCUCAUUCGUCCGUUUUAACCAAAUUUUAAUUUUGGAAACUUACAUGCUGCCUUUUAUUAACUUUGAGCAUGUUCCUUAUUUUUGUAUGUUGAAAUUCAUGAACAAAUUUCUUUUAAAGUGUUUGUGCAUAGGUCCAACACAUUCAUAAAAAUAACAUAAGUGAAAAAAUUCUUGAUAUCAUAAGUGACUACAAUUAUGUGCCAAUUUUGAUGAACAUAACAUGUGAAAGUACCGAUAUAUGCUGUUAAUAAAAUGUAUCCAAGUAUGCACGCAGGUUUUGUAACUAGUUAAAAAAGAAAGGGCAAAAGUUAGGGGUAAAUGGUGUCAAUUUCAUCCAGCUUCCAUUUAAAACUAGGAACCAACCUAUUAAAAUAGGUUUUCUAAUUUUGGAACUUGCAACCUGAUGUAGCUAGCAAGAAUUACAUAGAGGAAGAGAAAAAGGGGGGGGGGGGGGGUUGGGGGUGUGAAUAGUUGAUUUAAUAAAAAAUUGACAAACUAAAGCGAAAAUAGAAAAAAAAAGUCAAGAACUAAGUUUGAACUUAUAGCGCAAAGUCCAUAUUUUGGAAUAACGUUCAGAAAUAGUUUGCGAUAGAAUGAACUUCUGAAGCAGCUCGCAAGUAUGCAAUAAACUAUAGCAAUAACUAAUAAAAGUUUAAGGAUAAAAGGAAUUUGCACAUAAAGCUUAUAGUAGUUUGGCUUAGAUUCAGUCCACAUCUACUUUCUAAUGCUGAUAACCUUCUGGCUGGAUUCUAUUAGAUGAUCAAUAAGAGAUUACAAUAUUGAGUGAUCACAUUUAGUGUAUGAUAGGUCACACUAUCUCAUUCAAUCACACUUUUUGUGCUUCUCUUACGAUCACAAAAUUGAAGCUCAUGAAAUACAAGUGUAUGGUCGAAAUACGCUCAGACUUUGAAAUUUUAGAUUUUGGCCUUUGUCUCUUAGAUGCUCUUUGGCACCUUGGUCUCCUUAUAUACUCAUUCACUUCCCAAUUAGCUGUUGAACAGUCUCUAGAGGAUCAUCUCCCAAUCUAUCCAUUGGACAUAUGUAUUAAGAAAAUUAAGUAGCUGUUGAGUGACAAAAGUUGAAUCUCCACUUGAUUUUGGUCAUCCAUAUAACUAGUAUGGAUUUCCAUAAGUAAAGCUUCUUGAUUUAGAAAAAAACUUUUUUCAAGAUUUAUUUUCCAAUUAAAUAAGAUUGAGUUAAUCAAAUCUUUUUAGGUGUGAAAUCCAAGCUAGAUCAUUAGCUGUUAUAGUACGUUUUAAUUUGGUGUCACGUUUUGAAGUUAUGUCUCGUUCUGAAGUUUUGUUAGGAUGGGAACAUAAAUGAUUCUCUCAGUUUGAAGAUCUUUAUAACUUCAAUAUAAAGUCCGAACCUAUUCCAUCUAAAGUAGAUUCUACAAUUUGGACUUGAAUUUGAAUAAGAUUAAGAUUGCUACUAACUUUUCUUUCAAGAGUAAUUCCCUAAAUCAAAAUACUUCAAAACAUAUAUCUAACUUACAAGAAUUUCACGGACAGUUUUGCCAAUUUUAAAAUUUAUUAGAAAGUUUUCUCAACAGAACCUACCCUUGCAUACUUAAGAACCUAGAACCUAUUAUGUCAUAGGUUCUAGGGUCGGUUCCAUGAAUUGUAACGAAUAAUGGUAAUUAGAUGUGAUAAUUCAUUGCAAUCGUUCAAUUAAAAAUAUAUAUAUGUAAUCUUGGUAGACCAUGGAACCGACCCUAGUAAUACAUUGACCUUCCAUUAAAGUCUUGUUAGUGAGAAUCAUUAACAAUCUAUCUAUAUUGAUGUCAGAAAGAAAACAAUGUUAAUAUGGCACCCAUAUGUCCUAAGUGAAAUAAAAAUGAUGUUAUUUUGUUUGAAAAAUCAUUUAACGGAAUUUUGAUGGAGGGUGAAUGUAUCACAUAAGUACAAGUUUGGGGGUUUUUUUUUUUUUUCAUGUCAAAAUUUUUUUAAAGGUAAAUGUAUAACAUUAUGCAUAGGGUUUUUAAUAUCACAAAAAAGUAUAAAAUAAAUGUAUCACAGUGGGCGUAGUUUUUUUUUUUUUGGGCUCUUUCUUUCAAAAAAAAGAAAUCAAAGCAUCUAGUCUCAGUGAGUGAUUUCCACUCAACUAGAAACAUUGUUCCAACAAUCAAAAUUGCUCGUUGCUAAAGGUUGAUGAACUUGGCUCCCUCAUGACUAGAGCUGGGCUGUCACGGCUCAACUUCCGUAAAAAAAAAAAAAAAAUCAAAUAAAAGAAUAUAUCUAUUGAGAUUUUUUUUUUUAAAUUUCCUUUACCAUAUAAAAACAAAAAUACACAAUCGUGUAAAUUGUUUUCCACCUCGCUACACAUCCUCGAUAUGGGACUUUUUUCGUCUAACACAACAUUGACCAUAUUUGCGUUAAUAUUUUAUUGGAAAUUUUUUUCUAAAUCACUCUAAUGACUUUAGCCUUUGAAUGAAAGUGAAUCCAACUAAAUAUGUUAAUAAAUUUGGAUUUGGGUUCUCUCUUGAUAAUCUCCCAAGGUGACGGAUUGUGAUUUGUUAUGCAUCCCCAACAAGUGAUAUCGGUGUCGAUAGUUGAUUUGUGCCUUACUCACGAUAUGUAACAAGGUCUGGUGAUUAUCUCAAAAAAGAAUUUUGAUUCUCUAAUCAAGGCGACAGAUAAUGUCCACUGGCUUCUUGCUAAACUUGAUUGGGCCAAGACAAUUGAGGUAAAGUCCAAAGGCAUAUGGUGUGACUCAGCUCCAACAUUUGGGAAACUCGGUUGACUUAAGGUGGCGAUUUGAGUUAAAAUAACAUUGGUGAGAAAGGAAUACCUAAAUUAAAGGGGACAACAGGCCUCGCACAGGAGGCUCACAUGUGUGAAGAAGAUUUAAUGAAAUGCAUGUGUGAGGGUGUUAGGCACAAAUAGUCCCACAUCAGAGAUGUCUUUAGGGUGAAUCAUAUUAAUAUAUCCAAGUUGAGAUUUGUUUACAAGUUUGAACUUAAGCUCUUUUUUGGCAAUUUUCUCAAAAGUAGGUAUCAAGUUUGUGCUGCACGUUCCCAAAAAUCAAUAUUUCUAGAGCUUUAGAUUAAUCAUUUCAUCCACCUACUCAUAUACAACAACGCUGUAUCAAUUCCCACAAUUGACUCCGCGGGCAUUAAACUCGUCAAUCAUCGGAAUUCAUUAAGUGCAAAUUGCAGCGUGUUCGUCUACCUAAAUUUGUCUGAACAACGUGAAUUGAGACAAAAUGAAAAUGUCGUUGAGGCGGCUAUUCAAGCAUAUAGAUCCUAGUGGGAAAGAAUAUUCUAGUUAAAAGUCCACGACCUUUCAAAGUACUAGGCUGCUAUAUAAAAAAGAAUUGAAAUGGAAUACGAAGUUAGGCAAUUUUGACUUGUGCUUAUUGACACCAAAUUAAUUUUUUUCCCGAAGUUUAUUGACACCUCGUUGAUUAAUUGGAGGUAAUAUCAGUUUCUUGGUCAACUAAAGAUCUUCGAUUUCAACCAAAAAAAAAAAAAGAAAAAGAAAAAAAAUUUUGGACCGAAAAAAAAAAAAAAACUAAAGGAGUUUAAUUCAUCAAUACAUAAGCUUAUCGAACGGAACGUAUUGUGAUAUGGUCGAGAUGGCCAUUGCUAUGUACUUGAAGAAAGGGCUAAUGGAAUGAACUUGAGAGUGAAAUUUGGCGUAGAGAUCAUACUUAGCUUCUCUUUUACAGUGUGAAGAGACUUCAGAGGAUUGAAGUUCCUUCACUUGAAAAAUAGGAAUUGAGAGAGAGAAAUAGGAAUUGAGAGAGAGAGAGAGAGAGAGAAAGAGAGAGAGAGAGAUCUAAUCGUUGAGAGAGAUUAACUUUUUAAUUAGCAAAGAGAUUUACCUUCAAAACUCAUACGGCUUUAUUUAAUGUCGGUCCAUUUAAAGCUCUUGCCUCAUCCUAAUGAUGCAUUAUUUUGACACGAUAGUUCAUGUCUGACAUACAACUUUUUGUAAUUCAAUAAGGCUUCUGGCCUAUAUAGUUCCCGGGAGGAUCAUAGUUACAAGUGACCAAAGUACCACCAGUCGCGCAUUGGGCCUUUGCGCAUCCAACCCGAACCGAGUUGCGCCACACCACCUGAGUGUAAUGCCCGCAGACCUUCCCGGGCGCGCACGAGUUGGAAUUGUAGUUGUAGUCAGGCUUUUCCCCGACCCACAUGUUCACCGCUCUCGUGCCGGUGAGAUCAGGGGAAGCCCACGCGAGGUUCUCUCCAUAGGGUCCGCCCGAAUGGACCAGCCGCGUGCAAUCCCUGGCGUGCUUUUGGGCGUAAUCCCUGGCAUAGCUAGCCACUCGCUCGUCCCAAGUGAUCGGGCCUACACCGACCUGAGAGCGGGCUGCGUUGUGGGCGGCGACGUAGUCCCGGGGCAAGUCCUGGGCGACAGACAGAGAGAUCAGCGCCAGGGUUAGCGCGGCCAGGAAAAUGACAUGGAGAGGAACACUCAUACGGGAACUCAUAUUGCAAGAGACCAUAAAAGUAG
rnacentral:lncRNA from 1 species